rnacentral:lncRNA from 1 species
CUCUGUUAUGGUUUAUACAGUAUUAGAUUACAAACACAGUUACCAUGUUAAUACACAGGGGUGUACUAACAUGUUGAUUGAAUGACCACAAACAUGGUCCUUCAAUCAAUAUAAUCCAACCCUGCCAUAGAACAUGCAAGGGGUAUGGUCUAAGGAUGCUUUAUUUGUGACAAAAUGAAAUCAGUACAGAUGGUCGUAUGCACGGUGCCCUGUCUGGCUUUAUCAGUGCUUCCUAUGAGGGCUAUUCUUAAUCCCUGUUAAUCUCUGUGAAUGAAAGCCUGCCGUCAUGGCUGCACAGAAAGAGAAUCGACUGUCUCCCUGGCGUGUUAAUUUAACAAGAGAUGCACUGGAUCAUUUUAAACGAGGGAGAGAAGAGGACCUGAGGAAGAGUGAGAACCGCAGGAUGCAACUGCAUUGUGACGUCUUGAAGCUCCAACGGGAACAACACCUCAGGGCGAUGCGUCUGCAGCGGCGGUGUCAGGAGCUGACGGAGCGUGAGGGACGGGCCCGGCGGCGCAACCAGCAGCUGCUGCAGGACUUCCAGAGGGCCGAGGCCACACUGGGGGAGAUGGUGGCCCACACCGCCACCAUGAACACCCUCAGGCUGGAGUAUCAGAGGUACCUUGAGGAGAACUCCCCACGCUGGCACCAGCAGCUGAAGGACCAUACCCAGCGUGCAGAAAAGAAGGUUCCGGAACUUGAGUUUAAACCGCUGCUUUGAACCCCUGAGCAAUACGUGUUCCAUGUCUAUAGUCAUUGUUGAGAGUCUAGUCUGCUCAAGGGAAUUGUGCCGCCUGGCUUGUGUUAAAGUUGAUCCUGUGUAGAUCAUUCCUGACCUUCCUUACAGAUGAUGCUCUGUAGUCUUAUCAGUCAUCUAUGGAGUAAAAGCCCAACCUCUUCUUGCAGAGGCUGGAAGCGCUUCUGAAAGACUUACUGAAGAGGGAAGAGGAACAUGUGACCGCAUCCUUCACUAGAGAGCGCUUCCCCCCCCCCCGAGGUAACCAUUUGUCACAUGGAACGUACAACACCCUGCCAGCCUCCAGGCACACACACUCAGCUUUUACUAAACCUGUAUUUAUAACCGUCUUCUAGAAAACACCCAUUGGCCUCAGAGAGCAACGUCUGAGCCCGAGGCGUUCUGCAGAGCACAUGGCCGCCCGGAGGCCUUCGUCCCCCAAACGAUGCCCUCCUCAUCUUGGCUCACUCAGGCUCACACGUCCCAUGAUGCCUUAUGCUUUCCUUCACCCACCGUGUUCCCGCCACCUCGCCCAUCCCCGGUUCACCACCAAACAUCUCCCCAGACAGGGCCUCCGCCGCGGGGGGCCCCUCAGACCAACGGGACCCCCCCCUCGGUGUCCAGUGAGGUGGGGUCCCCUCCAGGCCUCCAGGCGCCCGGGGCUCCAGGGGCCUUGGCAGGGCCGUCAGGUU